rnacentral:rRNA from 1 species
AGUGAACGCUGGCGGUAGGCCUAGCACAUGCAAGUCGAACGGCAGCACAGUAAGAGCUUGCUCUUACGGGUGGCGAGUGGCGGACGGGUGAGGAAUACAUCGGAAUCUACUUUUUCGUGGGGGAUAACGUAGGGAAACUUACGCUAAUACCGCAUACGACCUACGGGUGAAAGCAGGGGAUCUUCGCACCUUGCGCGAUUGAAUGAGCCGAUGUCGGAUUAGCUAGUUGGCGGGGUAAAGGCCCACCAAGGCGACGAUCCGUAGCUGGUCUGAGAGGAUGAUCAGCCACACUGGAACUGAGACACGGUCCAGACUCCUACGGGAGGCAGCAGUGGGGAAUAGUGGACAAUGGGCGCAAGCCUGAUCCAGCCAUACCGCGUGGGUGAAGAAGGCCUUCGGGUUGUAAAGCCCUUUUGUUGGGAAAGAAAAGCAGCAGGUUAAUACCCCGCUGUUCUGACGGUACCCAAAGAAUAAGCACCGGCUAACUUCGUG